UGCAGUCGAACGGCAGCGCGGGAGCAAUCCUGGCGGCGAGUGGCGAACGGGUGAGUAAUACAUCGGAACGUGCCCAAUCGUGGGGGAUAACGCAGCGAAAGCUGUGCUAAUACCGCAUACGAUCUACGGAUGAAAGCAGGGGACCGCAAGGCCUUGCGCGAAUGGAGCGGCCGAUGGCAGAUUAGGUAGUUGGUGGGGUAAAGGCUCACCAAGCCUUCGAUCUGUAGCUGGUCUGAGAGGACGACCAGCCACACUGGGACUGAGACACGGCCCAGACUCCUACGGGAGGCAGCAGUGGGGAAUUUUGGACAAUGGGCGCAAGCCUGAUCCAGCCAUGCCGCGUGCAGGAUGAAGGCCUUCGGGUUGUAAACUGCUUUUGUACGGAACGAAACGGCUCUUUCUAAUAAAGAGGGCUAAUGACGGUACCGUAAGAAUAAGCACCGGCUAACUACGUGCCAGCAGCCGCGGUAAUACGUAGGGUGCAAGCGUUAAUCGGAAUUACUGGGCGUAAAGCGUGCGCAGGCGGUAAUGUAAGACAGUUGUGAAAUCCCCGGGCUCAACCUGGGAACUGCAUCUGUGACUGCAUUGCUGGAGUACGGCAGAGGGGGAUGGAAUUCCGCGUGUAGCAGUGAAAUGCGUAGAUAUGCGGAGGAACACCGAUGGCGAAGGCAAUCCCCUGGGCCUGUACUGACGCUCAUGCACGAAAGCGUGGGGGAGCAAACAGGAUUAUAUACCCGGGUAGUCC
rnacentral:rRNA from 1 species